UACAGAUUGGCUGGGCAUUUCCUCCACUGGUUUCAUCUAGAUUCACUCAUGAGGCUGAAUUAGCAAGAGGACCGAUCAGCUGGCCUGCAAAGACCGAGGUGGAAGAGUAAAUUGGUUCCUGUUUCUGCAUCUCAGCAGGAAGCAGAAGUUCUCCUUAUUUAGUUUUUCUUUUUUGGUUUACACUGGAUUCUUUAAGAUCAGAAUGAAAAAUAAAAGAAUCUUCCAGGAUCCUUCUAGGAAUUCACAAAGAGACUUCAGGUCAGUAAAGCCUGAACUUUCUCAUCUGACACCUGUUCAACUCUGAGGAUGCUGAUUAAUUCAUGGUGGAAAGGUGGCAGAGUGAGUUUCAGAUGCAAGAGGACAUCCUCAACAAAGAACUGCUGGUGCUAGGAGUUGGAAGUUGGGCCAAGUGGAAACCAGUGCUACCAAGGAGGUCAGAUGUUUAUUGGAUUCAGUUCGGUUUGUUGGAAGCAGAUCUUCAGAACAAGAAAGAAGGUAAUAAAAGAGAAACAUGAAGAUGACUAAAAGUUUGGGAAAUAUGAAUCAAGAUUAUUAGACUUAGCAGAGAGCUGGCUGGAUGGCAUUUAAGUAGAUAAUGGAUUCCUUUACAGAGCAUGAUCCUGGUCUAGGACAUAAUAGUCGC